rnacentral:tRNA from 1 species
GCCAGAAAAGCCAUUUAAAUGGCUAACACUUUGUUUCUAUUGUGUAUAAAUCCGCAUUCGUAAUGCGUAGGUCGCAGGUUCGACUCCUGUUUCCGGCACCA